rnacentral:piRNA from 1 species
UGAGGACCUCGAGACUUUGAUUGCGA